rnacentral:misc_RNA from 1 species
UAGGCCCACGCCGCCUGCUUGACGAGGCGAUUGCGGAUGGAGAUAUUACGCGAGGCGGAACCACAGGCGGAGGCAGCGGCGGUAGGAGAGUUGACGGCGGUGGAAGGGAGGAUGUCCUUAAGAGAAGUGUAAGAUAAGGAAGAUUUGAAAGAUGCCAACUCGAAGGCAAGUGGUGGAGAGGAGACGAAGCCGUUGCCGCGUGUGUGGUGAGAAGGGAGGCUGGAGGUGUAGAGAGGUUUGGCUGGGAGAGUGAGUUUAGUGGGGAUGACAACAAAUGUUGCAUUGAAG